UACGGGGGGUGCGAGCGUUGUCCGGAAUCACUGGGCGUAAAGAGCUCGUAGGCGGUCUGUUGCGUCGGCUGUGAAAACCCGGGGCUCAACUCCGGGCCUGCAGCCGAUACGGGCAGACUAGAGUUCGGCAGGGGAGACUGGAAUUCCCGGUGUAGCGGUGAAAUGCGCAGAUAUCAGGAGGAACACCGGUGGCGAAGGCGGGUCUCUGGGCCGAUACUGACGCUGAGGAGCGAAAGCGUGGGGAGCGAACAGG
rnacentral:rRNA from 1 species